UGGCGGGACGGGGUGGAGUAAUGUCUGGGAAACUGCCCGAUGGAGGGGGGUAACUACUGGAAACGGUAGCUAAUACCGCAUAACGUCGCAAGACCAAAGAGGGGGACCUUCGGGCCUCUUGCCAUCGGAUGUGCCCAGAUGGGAUUAGCUAGUAGGUGGGGUAACGGCUCACCUAGGCGACGAUCCCUAGCUGGUCUGAGAGGAUGACCAGCCACACUGGAACUGAGACACGGUCCAG
rnacentral:rRNA from 1 species